GCUGGUGUGGCAGUGCCCACCUGUAAUCCCAGGUACUCAGGAGGCUGAAGCAGGAGGAUCACCUGAGUCCAGAAGUUCUAGGCUGUGGUGCACUAUGCCAAUCAGGUGUCCACACUAAAAUUGGCAUCCACAUGGCGAUCUUCCAGGAGCAGGGGACCACAGGGUUGCCUAAAGAGGGGUGAAUCAGCCCAGGUCAACAAUGGAGCAUGUUGAAACUCUUGUGCUGGUCGGUAUUGGGAAUGUGCCUGUGAAUAGCCACUGCACUCUAUCCUGAGCAACAUAGUGAGACCACCGUCUCU
ensembl:misc_RNA Metazoa_SRP Metazoan signal recognition particle RNA